UACAGGGGGUGCAAACGUUGCUCGGAAUUAUUGGGCGUAAAGAGCGUGUAGGCGGCUGGGUAGGUCUGCUGUGAAAACUCGAGGCUCAACCUCGAGACGUCGGCGGAAACCCUCCAGCUAGAGUCCGGAAGAGGAGAGUGGAAUUCCUGGUGUAGCGGUGAAAUGCGCAGAUAUCAGGAAGAACACCCGUGGCGAAAGCGGCUCUCUGGGACGGUAUUGACGCUGAGACGCGAAAGCGUGGGGAACGAACAGG
rnacentral:rRNA from 1 species